rnacentral:rRNA from 1 species
AUGAACGCUAGCUACAGGCUUAACACAUGCAAGUCGAGGGGCAUCAGGAAGAAAGCUUGCUUUCUUUGCUGGCGACCGGCGCACGGGUGAGUAACACGUAUCCAACCUGCCCUUUACUCGGGGAUAGCCUUUCGAAAGAAAGAUUAAUACCCGAUAGUAUAAUGAUUCCGCAUGGUUUGAUUAUUAAAGGAUUCCGGUAAAGGAUGGGGAUGCGUUCCAUUAGGUUGUUGGUGAGGUAACGGCUCACCAAGCCUUCGAUGGAUAGGGGUUCUGAGAGGAAGGUCCCCCACAUUGGAACUGAGACACGGUCCAAACUCCUACGGGAGGCAGCAGUGAGGAAUAUUGGUCAAUGGGCGAUGGCCUGAACCAGCCAGGUAGCGUGAAGGAUGACUGCCCUAUGGGUUGUAAACUUCUUUUAUAUUAGAAUAAAGUGCAGUAUGUAUACUGUUUUGUAUGUAUAAUAUGAAUAAGGAUCGGCUAACUCCGUGCCAGCAGCCGCGGUAAUACGGAGGAUCCGAGCGUUAUCCGGAUUUAUUGGGUUUAAAGGGAGCGUAGGUGGACUGGUAAGUCAGUUGUGAAAGUUUGCGGCUCAACCGUAAAAUUGCAGUUGAUACUGUCAGUCUUGAGUACAGUAGAGGUGGGCGGAAUUCGUGGUGUAGCGGUGAAAUGCUUAGAUAUCACGAAGAACUCCGAUUGCGAAGGCAGCUCACUGGACUGCAACUGACACUGAUGCUCGAAAGUGUGGGUAUCAAACAGGAUUAGAUACCCUGGUAGUCCACACAGUAAACGAUGAAUACUCGCUGUUUGCGAUAUACAGUAAGCGGCCAAGCGAAAGCAUUAAGUAUUCCACCUGGGGAGUACGCCGGCAACGGUGAAACUCAAAGGAAUUGACGGGGGCCCGCACAAGCGGAGGAACAUGUGGUUUAAUUCGAUGAUACGCGAGGAACCUUACCCGGGCUUAAAUUGCAGUGGAAUGAUGUGGAAACAUGUCAGUGAGCAAUCACCGCUGUGAAGGUGCUGCAUGGUUGUCGUCAGCUCGUGCCGUGAGGUGUCGGCUUAAGUGCCAUAACGAGCGCAACCCUUAUCUUUAGUUACUAACAGGUCAUGCUGAGGACUCUGGAGAGACUGCCGUCGUAAGAUGUGAGGAAGGUGGGGAUGACGUCAAAUCAGCACGGCCCUUACGUCCGGGGCUACACACGUGUUACAAUGGGGGGUACAGAAGGCAGCUACCUGGUGACAGGAUGCUAAUCCCAAAAGCCUCUCUCAGUUCGGAUCGAAGUCUGCAACCCGACUUCGUGAAGCUGGAUUCGCUAGUAAUCGCGCAUCAGCCACGGCGCGGUGAAUACGUUCCCGGGCCUUGUACACACCGCCCGUCAAGCCAUGGGAGCCGGGGGUACCUGAAGUACGUAACCGCAAGGAGCGUCCUAGGGUAAAACUGGUGACUGGGGCU